rnacentral:lncRNA from 1 species
UUCUAUUACUCCCAGCCUAAAACUGGCUCCUGGGGUAAUGCCUAUUUCUGUAAGAAAUUUUUUCCACUGAUCUCUUCUUUGUGGUCCUUAUAAUAGGCUGCAUUCAAGAGCAUGUAAGCAUCUAAUGUGCAUGCACUGAACUUCUUCAAGGGACAAGAACCUGGCUCCUGAGGCCUGUGGGCUUCCACUUGACACCAGGAAUUCUAAAGUGCCCACACUCAAAAGAAGUCAUUCUCUUCCCCGGUGUCCUGAUUGAAAAAGAUGUGGAAAUGUUAAU